rnacentral:rRNA from 1 species
UACAGAGGGGGCAAGCGUUAUUCGGAAUUAUUGGGCGUAAAGGGCGCGUAGGCGGCUUUGCAAGUGACGGGUGAAAUCCCUCGGCUUAACCGAGGAACUGCCUGUCAAACUGCAUGGCUUGAGACCGGGAGAGGUGAGUGGAAUUCCCAGUGUAGCGGUGAAAUGCGCAGAUAUCAGGAGGAACACCGGUGGCGAAGGCGGCAUUCUGGACCAACACUGACGCUGAGGAGCGAAAGCCAGGGGAGCAAACGGG